CUUUGGGACGGUCGACUGGCGAUAUCGUAUUACAUCCGGCGCGAAGGCCUAUUGUUUCGCAUUGGCAUAUGCGUGUUCCCCGUUUUGACGAUGGCUGGAUAAUUAUUGACGUGAGGAAUAAUAUGAAUUUAUGUGGCUGUGAAUAGACCUCGGGUUUUUGCUCGUUGUGAGGCGCUAAAAAUGUGUGAGUGUGCGUGCGCGUUUGUGCAGCUGGGACCCCACUUGACAAGUGCGGCAAUGGUGUAGGCGGACGGAGCAUUACGUGAAGCCAAGGGCAAGCUGCGACCUUGAACAUGCAGAGCAAGUUAUUUUUAGGCUAUGAUGACUCCUCGCACCCGUGCAUGUUGGGGCAUGCAGCGAGGUCGCCGCUAUAUAAGUGGGGAGGAUGUGUAAAGAGGCAGCAGUCUUCGCAUCGCUUCGGGAGUGUGUGGAGCUCGCUUCAAAAUGCCUAGAUGCGUGUUCUGCUUUUUUGAUCCUCAUGAUAUCGGUGAUGAUGAGCCAUUGGAAGAGAAUUCACCAUCUUCUCCAGACAUUUCACCUGGCACAUUGCAUGCUCACGUCGAGCGAUCACAUCCCUAUGUGGACAUUUCCUUCCUGCCUUUCUUUCAAACUGAUAGCGCAUUUCGAGGUACCGUCAAAGCGUUUGUGCUAUUGGCAUCUGUUCACGAUCAGGGAGUAGAGGACUUGCGACAAUAUUUAAUGAACCACCUCCACAAUAUAAUUGCUAUUUUGCGAGCGCAAAGAAUACCCUUUAGAUUUUGCAUUUGUUCUGACGUUCUAAUGAUGAAAGAAAAUCGAGGGGAUAUAACUGCACACAUAGCUCAUUUUAUGGCGCUUGCUCGCGAAGUCCACAGCGACGGAGCUAUUGCAAAUACUUUGAUGGACGUGAUUCAGGAGUCCACCGGGCGCAUUGAAAAUUACCAGCGUGAGGGUAGUGGGUUUGUAUCCACCGAUGUCCAAAAAGUUCAAAUGUGUAUUUCCGCUGUGAAAACUAAAAAGUUUGGAUGCGAUGGGGUACUUCCCACAAAUUUGGCUAAACGCAGGAAUGUGUUAACGAAUAUCCAAUUACCAGCACGCAAGGAGGGUGAAUGUUUUAAAUACAAUACACUCGCUCUCCUGCA